UUAAUCGAAACCAAAGGAAGGAGGUAUGCUACUGUUAAUAGCAAAAAUGAAACUAUUUUCCGAUUAAA
rnacentral:tRNA from 1 species